CCUGGUCCACGCCGCCUCUGUUUCAUUCUCGCUCAGCCGAACAAACGAACGCAACGAGAGGCGGCUAGGGAUCCCGAUGGUCAGCCGCCGCCCGCCUGUAGCCACGAUUAUGGGCUUCCUCAAGCCACAAAUCGUGUCCGCCCUCAAACACUCGCCAAGCCGGCACACGCCCCCACGCCCUGAUCCGCACAGACCACGGCGCUACCACCUAACGCAGCGCGGCAGCGCGCGGCUCUACUGCCUCUUCCCGACGGUGGUGCGGCCUCGCGGUGUGGUCCUCGGCCUCGGGCCGACUCCCCGCGGCACGAUGGCAGUACCCCUUGGCCAGAACAUGGAGGAACUCUGAGAAGAAUGCUUGACCCGGCGUCCAGCGUCCAGAUCCGUGAUCCACCGUGGAGGUUGGUCCACCCCGAGUUCCUCGCCUCUGCAGUAUAUGUCCUCCCCGAGCUCCAAGGCGCCGCCUCCCGCAUCCUCCUGAGACCCAGUGCCUCCUCCAACCCACUGUCGCUACCAGUACCAGGUUCUUCACCGCAAUAAUAGGUGCAGCAUCAACCAUGUCCAGGGGCUCUUCAACAACAGUGUUGGCAAAAUCAUUCCAGCACGACUUGUUCCCGCAAUUAAAUCAGUUGUAAAUCAGAAUAUGUACCACAUUCUAAGCUAUCAAGACUUCAUACAAAUCAACAUUUUAGGCCAUCAACAAAUUAAUUUGCUGCUUACGAGUCAUCUGCCAACAACAAGGUAUGCUUUGGAGUUUGGAAUUGACACAUUGUCAAUCUUUCUUCUGAUACUCAAGAGAAGAUGAUACACUCUGAAUAGCACAAAUGAUAUAUACUGAUAAAAGGUGGAACACAGAGCAAAAUUAGUCAGAAUGCAUGCACUAAAGAAAAGG